CAUUAGACACGUCGAACACGAAGCGGACGCAACGCGGACGGGCUUUGCGGCUGCCGACAGCCGUUUGUUUCUGGCGAACACAGGCACGCUAACAUUACGCCUGGUUGCUGCGCCUUCGCGUGUAGCAACCAAACGGAGUCCGGAAAGGCAUUUUUCUGCAUUCCGUGCGGGAAGGACGACUGGGAUCGACGUUCUGCGUGGCUGCACAGAAUUGGCCGCAAAAGCUUCGCGCCCUCGAACACCCGCUUGUGCGAGCAAACGUUGACCAACCAGCUUGCCACCAGCCGACAGCUGAUAAGCCGGAAGGUUCAGGUGACAUUGUACAAGGAACUGGGAGCCAAGGAACACCUGACGAAGACCCUCAUGUCCCCUUGUCAAACCACUGAUUCUAGGCUGAGACUUUCCUUGUUUGCCCACAAUUAACUCUGUAGCAAUGUUAAAGUAAGCACAGCCGUCGGGCUACAUUGUUGUUUUUACAGUUGAAUGCCUGCUCUUGUGUGAAAACUAGGUAUUGCAAUAAAUACUUUCUUCAAUGAUGUAUGUUACUGUUGUGAAAUAAAUAUCUGCCGUUUGCCUCCACA